CCAGCUGGAGCGCACCUCUUUGUCCACCAUUGUUUUUCAUGUAUACACCUACAGCACUAAUAUUCAAUGACCAGAGGACCUGCUCUGGAUUAUUAAGAAGACAUCGAGUUUUGUAGUGUUAGAACAGUCUGACACCAGGGUUACUUGUAUGAUCCAGAGUGCAGCCCAGAUGAGUUACAGUACUCCGAAUGAAGGAAGCGGUCACAGCUAAAAGACUAGGCAGCUGACAGCAGCGAGAUCCAACCAUGGGGCAUCUUACAGUAGCUGUGUGCAGGAGACUGCUGGUGGUCUGCACCACACGCCGAUGUGAAGAACUGAAUCGCCCUCUGCAGAACUUCACCACUGCUGAUUUCGUUUGGAUGAAGGUGUGGAUUCUAAUGCUGACGACACAGCACCUUCAGCAUUUUCAGAAAUCAGCACAGAAUGCAAGGAGUCCUCCCUGCAAAACCUGAACAACCACCCACCAUCAUCCACUCACUGAAGGGGACACAUCCCAGUUACCCACAUGCAAGGAGGUUGUCAAACAGAGAAAUCACUGCAGACUGUUGGUACACAGACAUCUGCUGCCUAGCUCAGGAGUGAAGUACCUUUUGUUUUGAUGAGGUGAUGGUGAGGACAGCCACAGCUUCCAUCUGGUAGAGGACUGCUUCUGCUCAGUCUUCCAAAUAGUGAUGAGAACAAGGAUCACAACAUCUCCCUGGUGAUCUAUUUACAACUAUACCUGUCCUGCUGCAGAAACAAAUCUCCAACAUAACCAAGUUUACCACGUACGCAGGACAUGGACUGUUUACCCUACUUCCAUCAAGCAUUUCAUCUGCAAGGCUCUGCAAAAGCUUUUGUCCUCAAACCCCCAGACUUCUUAAUUCACUCAGUAACCUAUACAUUGCACAUUGGAGUUUGAAGAUAACAGUGUGUUCCAGCUUUGGAGUAGUGGUGCAGUUUUUGGUUGACAAUAAAGUGAAAAGCUUUAACUAUUAAAUAUUUCACUAAACUCUGUUUUUAUGAGGGGGAAAAGGCAUUUAUUCAGGAAAAUCAUAGUAUUGAAAUUACAUGUUUUUCUCUUUCUAAUAUGGUAAGCUAUAAAAGGUGAACCGUCCAUAGGAGAAAAGCAUGUGUAAUUAUAAAUUAAAAAUUCAAUUGUUUAAAAAGAUGAAUUUUAAUGAGUAUUGCACACACAUAAAACACAUUACUACUCAAAUGGUAAAUGAGUUAUUCCACAGGUGGUUUAAAUCCAACAUACAGUGAGUGUUUUACCCAUCAGGUAACUCUGCCUUGAUCUACAACCCACGCAUGAAGAGAUGGCAACUCAGAUUCCUCACUCCAGAAAUCCCCAGCACCAGCUCACUAGCCUCUGUAGACUAGAUACCUGUAACAACUUCAGAUACAGAGACAUAUUACUGUCAGGUUUAUCAAGAAUGAUCAAAAAACAUUACUAAAAAACAUAACCAAAAGCAGUAAAAAUACGUUAGAUCAAUAUAUAAUUUGAACCAAUGCUUUUUGUUCCCAGGUAGGUCAUGCAAUGAUUGCUCUGAAUAUUAAUGCACAUUUUUUUUAAAUAUGUCAGAGCAGCAGUACAAGCAAGACAAAAACAGUGUAAAUUGUAUAUAUAUUGUUUUAGCUAUGCUCUCAAACUUUUAUUUAUUUGUAUAAUGUAAGCUAAAGCAGUGUUUUCUAUUAACAAGAGUUUUCCAGGUAAGUCACGUUGUGAAUAUUCAAGCUACACAGGCCAUGUAGCAAGCCUAAGCAUUAGCAACCGCUAGUCGCUUUGCAAAUUACAUAAAAGCCAAUUUAAAAAAAAACAAAAAAGGUAUGCGCUUCCGCAGAGGUGUGGUGAGCAGCUGCGCUCGGACACGCCCAGAAAACAGAGCUUUUACUGAUGGGAAGUGAAAACCACACAUUGACAGUGGCAGUGUGGAUGAUCUAAAGGGUUUUAUGCAAUGAAAUGAAAUGAGACCUUACUGAGACAUUGAAGGCCAACAUUCUUUAGAGUGAAAAGCUGUAUGAUCAGGGAAGUUUAACCUUUGUUCUAAUCCGAACCAAACCUCAAUUCUAACCUUAGCCCUAAAAUAACAUCUUGACCCUCAAAAAGGCCUUUAAAGUUGUGGGGCCCAGCCAAAGUGAACAUAGGGCCCCACUUUGGUAGGAAAAAAAAGGAUUUUGGGCCCCACUCCGAUGUAACCGCAAGGACACACACACACACACACACACACACACACACACACACACACACACACACACACAGUAUCGUCCACACUUCCAUAAAUAUUCAUCUCAAAUAUCAAUUAAAAUGCUGAAGAAUAGAAUAAAUAACUAAAAGCAUUAUUUUUAAAUGCAAUAUUUGUACAUUUAGUUUUAAUGUUUGUUUGUUUGUUUUCAUUGACUUUACUGAAAAAAUGGGAAAAUAAAGGGAAAGAAAUUGUGUAAUUUUUGUCUGACUCGCAUUCAAAGCCCGUGUGCAGGCGUAUGUGUCACUCAGUGAAUGUUUUGACUCUUGACCCAUGUUUUUUAAUUGGACUUCUCCCCCAGAGUUAUAUGUAAAAAACAAAAAAAAAACAUUUCUGACAUUACCACGAUUUAUCAAAUUAUUGAUGACAUGUGAUUUCAUGUUUAUAAAAAAUACUUUGUUUCACAAGAACCUUAAUUGU